GGGCAGAUGGCCGAGUGGUUUAAGGCGGUUGACUUAAGCUCAACUAACGAAAGUUGCAUGGUUCGAACCCAUCUGCCCA